rnacentral:rRNA from 1 species
AUCUUGCGCAAUGGGCGAAAGCCUGACGCAGCCAUGUCGCGUGAAUGAUGAAGGUCUUAGGAUUGUAAAAUUCUUUCACCGGGGAAGAUAAUGACGGUACCCGGAGAAGAAGCACCGGCUAACUCCGUGCCAGCAGCCGCGGUAAUACGGAGGGUGCGAGCGUUGUUCGGAAUUAUUGGGCGUAAAGCGCACGUAGGCGGCCCGUUAAGUCUCUUGGUGAAAGGCCGGGGCUCAACCCCGAGCAUGCCGGGGAUACUGGGGGGCUGGAGACAGGUAGAGGCCAGCGGAAUUCCGGGUGUAGCGGUGGAAUGCGUAGAGAUCCGGAAGAACACCGGAGGCGAAGGCGGCUGGCUGGACCUGAUCUGACGCUGAGGUGCGAAAGCGUGGGGAGCGAACAGG